CCUACGGGUGGCAGCAGUGGGGAAUAUUGGACAAUGGGGGCAACCCUGAUCCAGCCAUGCCGCGUGUGUGAAGAAGGCCCUCGGGUUGGAAAGCACUUUCAGUGAGGAAGAACGCCUGGUGGUUAAUACCCAUCAGGAAAGACAUCACUCACAGAAGAAGCACCGGCUAACUCCGUGCCAGCAGCCGCGGUAAUACGGAGGGUGCGAGCGUUAAUCGGAAUUACUGGGCGUAAAGCGCGCGUAGGUGGCUUGAUAAGCCGGUUGUGAAAGCCCCGGGCUCAACCUGGGAACGGCAUCCGGAACUGUCAAGCUAGAGUGCAGGAGAGGAAGGUAGAAUUCCCGGUGUAGCGGUGAAAUGCGUAGAGAUCGGGAGGAAUACCAGUGGCGAAGGCGGCCUUCUGGACUGACACUGACACUGAGGUGCGAAAGCGUGGGUAGCAAACAGGAUUAGAUACCCCUGUAGUC
rnacentral:rRNA from 1 species